rnacentral:rRNA from 1 species
GAGUUUGAACCUGGCUCAGGAUGAACGCUGGCGGCGUGCCUAACACAUGCAAGUCGAACGAAGCGCUAUUUCGGAAGCUUUUCGGAGUGAAAGAGAAAGUGACUGAGUGGCGGACGGGUGAGUAACGCGUGGGCAACCUACCCCACACAGGGGGACAACAGCUGGAAACGGCUGCUAAUACCGCAUAGGCGCACAGCUUCGCAUGAAGGAGUGUGGAAAGCAAUAGCGGUGUGGGAUGGGCCCGCGUCUGAUUAGCUAGUUGGUGAGGCAGAGGCUCACCAAGGCGACGAUCAGUAGCCGGCCUGAGAGGGCGGACGGCCACAUUGGGACUGAGACACGGCCCAGACUCCUACGGGAGGCAGCAGUGGGGGAUAUUGCACAAUGGGGGAAACCCUGAUGCAGCGACGCCGCGUGAGCGAAGAAGUAUUUCGGUAUGUAAAGCUCUAUCAGCAGGGAAGAAAAUGACGGUACCU